CCUGGAUGCUCUCUGUGGUUUCUGAUAUCCGCCAUUACCUCGCUUCGCCUGAACUUCUGAUGUUCUUCAAGUCAACUCAUUUAAACAAGAUCCUUUUGGAUGGGGUGACAUGGCAGGGAAAAGACCAGCCAAGUUGCGAGUGAUUCUGAAUUCUGAUGACACCAGGAAGCUAAUUCUGCCUGAUGGAAUUCCAGAGACAAUAGAGCAGCUGUUGAAUGAAGUCAGAAAAGUUGUUCAAAAGGAUGAAGCUUGGUCCGAGCUUGAGAGGUGCAAAAUGGCAGUUUUUGUCUUCAGGGAGGAGGAGGAUCGCCUCCAGCCACCACACGACAUUGGAGUUGUUAUCGAUGGUGUGAAAGUCCUUAAUGAUUUGCCAUCGGUAGCGCAUGCAUGUGCUAUGUUAUUUGGGCUCAUUUAUGCUCUAAACUUGAGCUACCUAAGUAACCUCAAAUACACUUUUGAUGCUCUGCAAAAAAUAAUCAUGGAGAUUGAACCAAAAAAGAUGACGCGCAGAGUGUGCACUCUGAGUCUCAAAAUCUAAAUAUUGGACCAAUGAAAAGACAUUUGGAUACAACAUGUGUUUUUGUUCUGUUAUAUAACUUGUAUUCAAAUACACUCCAUGAUAAUGGAAGGUAAAGAAACAGACUUUGUUUGAACAUUUUUCAUUUUGUAUUAAUUCUGCACACUGAAAAUGUGAAAAAUGCUAAAUUCACGACAAUUCAGUAGCACUGGUAAUGUUUUUGUUACAGUGGGUUAUGCACAAACCCUUGUUCAAAGGGUUUAACCCUUGUUAUGCAUGUUAUACAUGUUUGUUAUGCAUAACAAAGGAUAUAACUCAUUAUGCACAAACCCUUGUUCCAAGAUUGGACACUAGCAAUUUAAGAGAUGUAACCAUAUUGUUCAUGUGGAUUGAUUUAUGUUGAUCUUUUGUCAAUAUUUUGGUUUUUAUUUAGUGUAAACUAAAUUACACUGAUUGUAACAAAAUGUUUUAUACUCUAGCAAAUUUUGCUUUUGUCCAUGGUAAAAGUUUUAAGUUGUAGAAUAUAUAUUCUUCUACACAAUGUAACUUUUUUUACUUUUGACUAAAUUAAACGUCUGAUUAUUGUGUAAUUGCAAUGAUAGUUUGUACUAAAACAGAAAUGUAACUUGAGAUUAAUAAAAUAACCUGUAACAAAUUAGUGUUUAAAUUA